rnacentral:rRNA from 1 species
UGGGGAAUAUUGGACAAUGGGCGAAAGCCUGAUCCAGCCAUGCCGCGUGUGUGAAGAAGGUCUUCGGAUUGUAAAGCACUUUAAGUUGGGAGGAAGGGCAUUAACCUAAUACGUUAGUGUUUUGACGUUACCGACAGAAUAAGCACCGGCUAACUCUGUGCCAGCAGCCGCGGUAAUACAGAGGGUGCAAGCGUUAAUCGGAAUUACUGGGCGUAAAGCGCGCGUAGGUGGUUUGUUAAGUUGGAUGUGCAAUCCCCGGGCGCAACCUGGGAACUGCAUUCAAAACUGACUGACUAGAGUAUGGUAGAGGGUGGUGGAAUUUCCUGUGUAGCGGUGAAAUGCGUAGAUAUAGUAAGGAACACCAGUGGCGAAGGCGACCACCUGGACUAAUACUGACACUGAGGUGCGAAAGCGUGGGGAGCAAACA